rnacentral:rRNA from 1 species
UACGUAGGGGGCAAGCGUUGUCCGGAUUUAUUGGGCGUAAAGAGCGUGUAGGCGGCCAGAUAGGUCCGUUGUGAAAACUCGAGGCUCAACCUCGAGACGCCGAUGGAAACCAUCUGGCUAGAGUCCGGAAGAGGAGAGUGGAAUUCCUGGUGUAGCGGUGAAUGCGCAGAUAUCAGGAAGAACACCCGUGGCUAAGGCGGCUCUCUAGUACGGUACUGACGCUGAGACGCGAAAGCGUGGGGAGCGAACAGG